UACGGAGGGGGCUAGCGUUGUUCGGAAUUACUGGGCGUAAAGCGCACGUAGGCGGUGUGUCGCGUCGGCCGUGAAAACCUGCAGCUUAACUGUGGGCUUGCGGUCGAUACGGGCAUCACUGGAGUUCGGCAGGGGAGACUGGAAUUCCUGGUGUAGCGGUGAAAUGCGCAGAUAUCAGGAGGAACACCGGUGGCGAAGGCGGGUCUCUGGGCCGAUACUGACGCUGAGGCACGAAAGCGUGGGGAUCAAACAGG
rnacentral:rRNA from 1 species